rnacentral:misc_RNA from 1 species
GAUGAAGAACGUAGCGAAAUGCGAUAAGUAAUGUGAAUUGCAGAAUUCAGUGAAUCAUCGAAUCUUUGAACGCACAUUGCGCCCGCCAGUAUUCUGGCGGGCAUGCCUGUUCGAGCGUCAUUUCAACCCUCAAGACCCCUUCGGGGGACUUGGUGUUGGGGACCGGCAUAGGGGCCUUGCGCCCCUCGCCGCCCCCGAAAUGAAUUGGCGGCCUCGUCGCGGCCUCCCCUGCGUAGUAGCACAACCUCGCAACGGGAACGUGACGGCGGCCACUGCCGUAAAACAACCCAAUUUUAUUAGAGUUGACCUCGAAUCAGGUAGAAAUACCCGCUGAACUUAAGCAUAUCAAUAAGCGGAGA